CUUCAGCGAGCCCAACCACAGCGGACGCUCUGGGGCACGGUCCUUGCCGUAGGUCGCCAGCAACGCCUGCGCCUC
rnacentral:antisense_RNA from 1 species